UACGUAGGGGGCAAGCGUUGUCCGGAUUCAUUGGGCGUAAAGAGCGUGUAGGCGGCCAGGUAGGUCGGUUGUGAAAACUGGAGGCUCAACCUCGAGACGUCGGCGGAAACCAUCUGGCUAGAGUCCGGAAGAGGAGAGUGGAAUUCCUGGUGUAGCGGUGAAAUGCGCAGAUAUCAGGAGGAACACCAAUGGCGAAGGCAGCUCGCUGGGACGGUACUGACGCUGAGACGCGAAAGCGUGGGGAGCAAACAGG
rnacentral:rRNA from 1 species